GGGUGCGAUAAUUUCAGUACUUAUGCAUCAGAUUCCAUUCGAACUCCACAGUUAAGCUUGCUUGGACGACGUGUAGUAGUUUUAUGCAUGCCAAAUCUGUGAGUGAAUUUUUGGAAUGCAUCCA
rnacentral:rRNA from 1 species